rnacentral:pre_miRNA from 9 species
UCUCGAUAGCGUAAAAGUUAACUCAAAAUUGUAUGGUGUUGGAACGUUUGCCUACGUUGGCCGCUAGGGGCGCUGUGCCAACUCCAUACAAAUUUGCGUUAACUUAUACGCUAUCGC